CUUUCAACAUGGUUGCCUGUAUAGAACUGUAGCAGGCUUUUUCACCUUUGAGAAUUCCAUGUUUCAAGAAAAGAUAAGAACAAUUAAACGGCGCCUCGGUGUCUAUAGAUUCUUGCCGCUGUUUUUCAUUGCUGGAGCUGGAAUUGAGCUAUUUAUGAUAAAGGUUCGCAUCGGAAAGGAAACUUUUUAUGAAGUUUAUGUCAGAAAAGAAUCAGAAAGACGUCUAGAAAGAAGAAAACAAGAACAAGAAAACACAAAUAAACAGCAGAGUGUAGAAAUAUAAUUUUUGAGGAUGCCUGCUGGGGUAUCUUGGCCUGGAUAUUUAACUUUCUUUGCAGUCAGUUUAGCAACUUGCCUGGCAGGAAGUCAAAUGGUACACUUGUACUACAGACCAAAUCUGGAAAUUCCAGAUGUACCCCCAGAUCCAAAGGACUUUCCAGAACAAACAGGAUGGAGAAAAUAUAUUUCCAUAAAAAGAGACUAGUGUAUACCAUCUAAUUGUAAAAUAUUGAAUCGGUUGUGAAAUUUCAUGAAAAACAUUUUCCCUUCAAUUUGUAAUUACGUUAUGAAUCUUUUGUCUUCAUUUAAUGUUUUUAAAGGUUUUAAGACUAUUUUACAACAUACUGAGAUAAAGAUGAUAGAAAUAAUGGCAAAUUAUGAAAGAUCAUAUCUGGUUUGUAAUGUAACCAAAAAUGCAAAGAAGCAUAUACAGUUGUAUCACUAAUGAUUAAAGAAAUGAUCAUUUUUUCAACUAACACAUGUCAAACAGUUUUAUUGUAAUGCAGAGACAGACUUAAAAUAAUUCAGGAAAAACUUUUCAGGAGGGGACAAAGGUAUCUACAGUACAUAGCAUAAACUAAACAAUACAAAGAAAAGUACAUUUGAUUAAAAGAAGCAGAAGGUUUAAAUUGGAAUGAAGCAAUCUUCAUAACAUCCAACAUUAUCAGGGCAAAAUAGUACUUGUUAUAAAUGCUGACUUCAGUGUUUGGGCAGUAUGGAAAAUGUGAGAAAAUGAUAAUCAAAAAUAAUGGAUGAAUGA